rnacentral:rRNA from 1 species
UUUAAAUUGAGAGUUUGAUCCUGGCUCAGGAUGAACGCUGGCGGCGUGCUUAACACAUGCAAGUCGAGCGAUGAAGUUUCCUUCGGGAAAUGGAUUAGCGGCGGACGGGUGAGUAACACGUGGGUAACCUGCCUCAUAGAGUGGAAUAGCCUUCCGAAAGGAAGAUUAAUACCGCAUAAUGUUGAAAGAUGGCAUCAUCAUUCAACCAAAGGAGUAAUCCGCUAUGAGAUGGACCCGCGGCGCAUUAGCUAGUUGGUGGGGUAACGGCCUACCAAGGCGACGAUGCGUAGCCGACCUGAGAGGGUGAUCGGCCACAUUGGGACUGAGACACGGCCCAGACUCCUACGGGAGGCAGCAGUGGGGAAUAUUGCACAAUGGGGGAAACCCUGAUGCAGCAACGCCGCGUGAGUGAUGAAGGUUUUCGGAUCGUAAAGCUCUGUCUUUGGGGAAGAUAAUGACGGUACCCAAGGAGGAAGCCACGGCUAACUACGUGCCAGCAGCCGCGGUAAUACGU